UACGUAGGGGGCUAGCGUUGUCCGGAUUUAUUGGGCGUAAAGAGCGUGUAGGCGGCCAGGUAGGUCUGCUGUGAAAACUCGAGGCUCAACCUCGAGAUGUCGGCGGAAACCAUCUGGCUAGAGUCCGGAAGAGGAGAGUGGAAUUCCUGGUGUAGCGGUGAAAUGCGCAGAUAUCAGGAAGAACACCCGUGGCGAAGGCGGCUCUCUGGGCCGAUACUGACGCUGAGGAGCGAAAGCGUGGGGAGCGAACAGG
rnacentral:rRNA from 1 species